UUGUGUCCAGACAUUCUGCAAUAUGUGACUGAAUUGAGGAUGCUCCAUAAUGUUGGUGAAUAGUCGGAAUGGAUUUGGAUGCAACAACUUUAGAUCUCCACAUUUAAUGAGAAUGGGGGUGACCAGAUAUAGAGGGAUUCAUAUAGUCAGCUUCUAGGUGACCAAACCUUUGUAGCCAUUGGUAGUUUCCUAGAGCCCAAUCUAUCUUACUAUAUACUCUAGAUGCAUUGUCUUGUUUGUUGGACCAAGUGAAUUGCCAUCCUGUUGCUCAAAGAAACUUGAUAUGCAUUUCAAAUGGGUUAUAAACGAAAUAAGCUGGGGGGGGGGAAGGAUAUACUGACAGUUUUUUUGUGUCAAGAGGGAUCCCUAGAUACUUGAAAGGAAAUGUACCUUCUGUGAAUCCUAGGGUAUCCAGAAUCCGAGCUUUGAUAUCCUGUUUCACUCCUGCAAUAUAUAAAGCACUCUUUGACAGAUUAGCUUGAAGACCUGAAGCUUGAGAGAACUGUAGGAAAGCACCCUGCAAUAUCUGGACUGAAAUCAUGUUGCUCUAUAGAACAUCAGCAAAUCAUCAGCAAAGCAAGCAUGAGUGCAGUUUAAUUUCCUACACUUUGGAUGGAAAUUCCUGGUAUUUGGAAAAGCAAAGAAAGAGAAGGAAGACCAGUGAUGGCAACAGUAGCACAAUGAAUACAACAACAGAUUCAUCAACACCAGUAGUAGACCAAUAACAGUAGUAGGAGAAGAUUGAAAACCAAAUAGAAAGAAUCCAAGAAACCAAUGCAACAGUGUUUAAAUCCCGACAGAAAAGCCUAGCAACACCAAAUGGAUAACAAUAGCUACAGAAGAUAAAUACCACCAGAAACCCCAAGAUAUAUCAUACUAAACACCCAGCAACACUCCAGAUGUGCUCACAAUUAAGUGAAAAGUAAGGCAGAUGCAAGGACAGUAUUUCUGAUUGUAAAUACUCAAAGAAAACCCACUGAAACCUUUAAGCACAACUCAGCAUAUAUCACUCUUUCAUUCUGGAAAUUUAGUUCAGCUUUCAACCUCACUCUCUAUCUAUUUCUCUGAAAUUUUUUUUAACCUUUCUGAUUUUUCAAAUGACUUCCCUUAAAAGUGUUCUGGAAUACCUCUUAUAUAGCCAAACUGAAGUCACCUUACAGCCUGUUGAAAACCUUUUAAAAAACUGAUUAUUCCCUCUGUUUUUCCCACUUAAAUUUGUCUAGGCAUGGAACUCUUAUUUUAAAAUUUCUAGAAAUCAGAAUGUUGUGGAAGUCCUACUGUACAGCAGGUUCUACUACCAUUCUCAUGUGUAUUUCAGCUUUUUAAUAUUAAACUCAUCUAAUGGUCCAACGGAUGCUCAAUGACAGCUCACUUAGACUAAACUCUGAAAAUUUCUAUUAAAACUGCAGCUAGAUUCCAUUUCCUAAGUUCAGCUAUAACCAAUUCAAACCUAAAUUCAGCUGUAAACCAUUCAGACUUUCAUUCAAACAAUAAUUCGGACCAAAUCAGACAGUAUCAAUAAUACAAUUGGCAACAUUAAUCUAGCAAUCAAACAUAUACAACUAAUCGACGACAUUUAUCUAAUCGAUUACAACACAUAUAAUCGAUAACAAAUAAUCGACCCAAAAAUAAUGUGAUUCAUAGCAUUCGGACAAAAUAAGGGAUUAUGAAACUAAUGAUUCGAUGAUAUUAAUCGAGUCGAAUAUGUAGUUUAAAACGACCACAAUCAACAACAAACAGAUAAAACUCACCAAAUAAAAGGUCUUUGGCAGAAGAAGAACAACACUUGGCAAAAAAUUGAAAACAAAUUGAUACAAUGAAUCUAAGCAAAUAGCAGACAUAGGAACAUAAGAGAAAUAGAAGAAAAGGGAAAAUAAAUACCUCAAAAGUGAACACGUAAAAGACGAACUCGGACCAAACGAAUUUCAAACUUUUGAGGCCAAACAGGCUUUAAUCGAGUGUUCUCAACUGAGAACACAUCGACUAUAGUCCAUUGAACAACCAAAAACUCUCCAAUUCGGACAAAAUCCAGGCUCUACUUUUCUAGGGUUCUUGGGCUCGGAUUUGGGGAUCGAGUGGUUUGGUUUUGAUUCGAACCAAACCAACAAUAGUUUGGUGAUGAGGGAGGCUAGGGAAGGCUAUUGUGUAAAUUUGGGACCGAUUGGGGUUGGUUCGAGUUUUGCUCGAAUUUUCUGAAGAUUCGAGAAACUCCAGGUUCAUUCGAGGUAAGAUGAGGGUGGAUUUGGAGAGAAGGGAUUAGGGUGGUUCAGGGGUGUAAGUUUGGUGGCCGGCGGCGUUGUUGCCGCCGGGUUUCAGGGGAGAGGGUUUGAUGGAGGCUAGGGUUUCACAAGGAUGGAUUUGGUUGGUCUCUGAGGUUAGAGACGGAAGGGGAAAUGGCAAGGGGGUGGGGGUAUGGUUUUGGGUUUAUAUACGUGAUCAGGGGAUUAAUCCAGCCCGUUGGAUUAAUUGAGAUCAAUGGCCUGGAUCGAUUGAAUCAUCGAAAUGGCAUC
rnacentral:lncRNA from 1 species